rfam:Nematostella vectensis strain CH2 x CH6 NEMVEscaffold_452_Cont27651, whole genome shotgun sequence.
GUUGCGGUGGCCGAGUGGUUAAGGCGUUGGACUUGAAAUCCAAUGGGAUCUUCCCGCGCAGGCCCGAAUCCUGCCCGCAACG